CGGUAAGGCAGCGGCUUUUGAUGCCGCCAUUCCCUGGUUCGAAUCCAGGUAGCCCUGCCA
rnacentral:tRNA from 1 species